rnacentral:rRNA from 1 species
GCAUCAGACCUCUAAUCGGAAAAGACUACCCGCUGAGUUUAA